rnacentral:sRNA from 1 species
GCCGGGCGCAGUGGCGCACUCCUGUAAUCCAAGCGGCUCAGGAGGCUGAGACAGGAGGUUCAAAGCCAGCCUCAGCAAAGGCGAGGUACUAAGCAACUCAGUGAGACCCUGUCUCUA